CGGGUUGUAAAGCUCUUUCAGCCGGAAAGAAAUCGCACUUGCUAAUACUAAGUGUGGAUGACGGUACCGGAAGAAGAAGCACCGGCUAACUACGUGC
rnacentral:rRNA from 1 species